AUGGGCCAGGCCCUGCGCCGCGCCUCGGGGCGCCUGAGGCCUCCGCCCCCGGCGAGGCCCCCGGCCGCUCAUCCUCCCCCGCCUCCACCACGGGCCGCACCGGCGGCCGCUGCUGGCGGUGGCGGAAGUCCUCCCCAAGAUCGGCUCGACGUGUCACAGGAUGCUGUUACACCAUCAACAAAAGAUGCCCAUGGUGUACUUGUAGAACGUGAUCCAAGUUAUGAUGACAUGCUUAAGCACAUGGUUGGGAGAAUCACUACUAAGCCUGGAGGAAAGCCAGAAAUGGGUGAAGCUUCCGUCGUAGAGCGAUACAACAGGCCGCUUCCUAAGGUGAGAACAUCCGAAGCCGAACCUGGGCAGAGCAGGCAGCUACCUCCAGGAACCCUGAACGUCGGGCACAUCCAGGAGAUCAUCCUGCUGUACCAAGGAAAGUCCAGUAGCCACCGCGGCCCGAUGAGCGUGGACCAGAUCGCCUUGAGGUUCAGAGUCGAAGCCUCCGUGGUCCAUGGAAUCGUGCAGUUUGUCUCGUUGCCGCAGGAUGAAGGCAUCGAAAAGAAAGACGAACGGCGGGACCUUUGA
rnacentral:rRNA from 1 species